rnacentral:rRNA from 1 species
ACGAACGCUGGCGGCGUGCUUAACACAUGCAAGUCGAACGGAAAGGCCCUGCUUGCAGGGUACUCGAGUGGCGAACGGGUGAGUAACACGUGGGUGAUCUGCCCUGCACUUCGGGAUAAGCCUGGGAAACUGGGUCUAAUACCGGAUAGGAGCCAUUUUUAGUGUGAUGGUUGGAAAGUUUUUUCGGUGUAGGAUGAGCUCGCGGCCUAUCAGCUUGUUGGUGGGGUAAUGGCCUGCCAAGGCGGCGACGGGUAGCCGGCCUGAGAGGGUGGACGGCCACAUUGGGACUGAGAUACGGCCCAGACUCCUACGGGAGGCAGCAGUGGGGAAUAUUGCACAAUGGGCGCAAGCCUGAUGCAGCGACGCCGCGGGGGGGAUGACGGCCUUCGGGUUGUAAACUCCUUUCGCUAGGGACGAAGCUUUUUGUGACGGUACCUAGAUAAGAAGCACCGGCUAACUACGUG